rnacentral:rRNA from 1 species
GGAAUAUUGGACAAUGGACGAAAGUCUGAUCCAGCCAUGCCGCGUGUAGGAAGACUGCCCUCUGGGUUGUAAACUACUUUUAUAUGGGAAUAAACCCCCCGACGUGUCGGGGGCUGAAUGUACCAUCCGAAUAAGCACCGGCUAACUCCGUGCCAGCAGCCGCGGUAAUACGGAGGGUGCAAGCGUUAUCCGGAUUUAUUGGGUUUAAAGGGUCCGUAGGUGGGAUUAUAAGUCAGUGGUGAAAUCUUUCGGCUCAACCGGAAAAUUGCCAUUGAUACUGUAGUUCUUGAGUAUGCUCGAUGUAGGCGGAAUAUGUCAUGUAGCGGUGAAAUGCAUAGAUAUGACAUAGAACACCGAUAGCGAAGGCAGCUUACAAGCGCAUUACUGACACUGAUGGACGAAAGCGUGGGGAGC